AUCAUGGCUCAGGACGAACGCUGGCGGCGUGCUUAACACAUGCAAGUCGAACGAUGAAGCCCUUCGGGGUGGAUUAGUGGCGAACGGGUGAGUAACACGUGGGCAAUCUGCCCUGCACUCUGGGACAAGCCCUGGAAACGGGGUCUAAUACCGGAUAUGACUGUCCACCGCAUGGUGGAUGGUGUAAAGCUCCGGCGGUGCAGGAUGAGCCCGCGGCCUAUCAGCUUGUUGGUGAGGUAGUGGCUCACCAAGGCGACGACGGGUAGCCGGCCUGAGAGGGCGACCGGCCACACUGGGACUGAGACACGGCCCAGACUCCUACGGGAGGCAGCAGUGGGGAAUAUUGCACAAUGGGCGAAAGCCUGAUGCAGCGACGCCGCGUGAGGGAUGACGGCCUUCGGGUUGUAAACCUCUUUCAGCAGGGAAGAAGCGAAAGUGACGGUACCUGCAGAAGAAGCGCCGGCUAACUACGUGCCAGCAGCCGCGGUAAUACGUAGGGCGCAAGCGUUGUCCGGAAUUAUUGGGCGUAAAGAGCUCGUAGGCGGCUUGUCACGUCGGUUGUGAAAGCCCGGGGCUUAACCCCGGGUCUGCAGUCGAUACGGGCAGGCUAGAGUUCGGUAGGGGAGAUCGGAAUUCCUGGUGUAGCGGUGAAAUGCGCAGAUAUCAGGAGGAACACCGGUGGCGAAGGCGGAUCUCUGGGCCGAUACUGACGCUGAGGAGCGAAAGCGUGGGGAGCGAACAGGAUUAGAUACCCUGGUAGUCCACG
rnacentral:rRNA from 1 species